UGGGGAAUAUUGCACAAUGGGCGCAAGCCUGAUGCAGCCAUGCCGCGUGUGUGAAGAAGGCCUUCGGGUUGUAAAGCACUUUCAUCGGGGAGGAAGGCGAUAAGGUUAAUAACCUUGUCUAUUGACGUUACCCGCAGAAGAAGCACCGGCUCACUCCGUGCCAGCAGCCGCGGUAAUACGGAGGGUGCAAGCGUUAAUCGGAAUUACUGGGGGUAAAGCGCACGCAGGCGGUCUGUCAAGUCGGAUGUGAAAUCCCCGGGCUCAACCGAGAAACUGCAUUCGAAACUGGCAGGAUAGAGUAUUGUAGGGGGGGGUAGAAUUCCAGGUGUAGCGGUGAAAUGCGUAGAGAUCUGGAGGAAUACCGGUGGCGAAGGCGGCCCCCUGGACAAAGACUGACGCUCAGGUGCGAAAGAGUGGGGAGCAAACAGG
rnacentral:rRNA from 1 species